CCUCCCACUAAAAUACAGUUCAUUUAAUAAAUAAAACAUUUACCUAAAAUAAAGUAUAGAAGAUAGAAAUUUAUAUUAGGAGCUAUAGAGGCAGUACCAUAAGGGAAAGAUGAAAGAAUAAAUUUAUAGUAUAAAAAAGUAAAGACUAACACUUUUACAUUUUGCAUAAUUAUUUAACCAGAAAAUGCUUGACAAAAAGAAUUUAAGCCAAACACCCAAAACCAGACAAGCUACUUAUGAGCAUCCAAUAAGAGUCCAUCCAUCUAUGUUGCAAAAUAGUGGAACAACUUAUAAGUAGAGGUGAAAAGCCUACCGAGCCUGGUAAUAGCUGGUUGUCCAGAUUAGAAUUUUAGUUCUACUUUAAAUUUACCUGAAUCACAAGCAAGCCAAAUGUAAAUUUAAAUGUUAAUCUAAAGAGGGACAGCUCUUUAGAGUUAAGGAAUAAACCUUAAUUAGAGAGUAAACCUACUAACCUCCAUAUUUGGCCUAAAAGCAGCCAUCAAUUAAAAAAGCGUUAAAGCUUAACCUAAUUAUCAAAACUUAAUAGCUAACUCUCAAUAAUCUACUUAACCAACACUGGACUAAUCUAUUUAUUUUCCUAAUAGAAGAAAUUAUGUUAAAAUGAGUAACAAGAAAACAUUCUACCUGCAUAAACUUAUAUCAGAUCGAAUUCCUCACUGAUAGUUAAUAACACCAUAAUAUUAAAUAAACCACAAAAGCAUUAUUAACAACACUGUUAACCCAACACUGGUAUGCACUAAGGGGAAUAAUAAAAAAAGUAAAAUGAACUCGGCAAAUGGUAACCCCGCCUGUUUGCCAAAAACAUCACCUCUAGCAUAGAUAGUAUUAGAGGCACUGCCUGCCCAGUGACAUACGUUCAAUGGCCGUGGUAUCCCAACCGGGCAAAGGUAGCAUAAUCACUUGUUCCUUAAAUAGGGACUAGUAUGAAAGGCUUGACGAGGGUUUAACUGUCUCUUACUUUUAAUCAGUGAAAUUGACCUUCCUGUGAAGAGGCGGGAAUUUCCUAAUAAGUUUUAUAUCCUUCCUGUACUAAUAAAUCCCCUAACUUUCUCCGCAAUCUACCUCACUCUCUUUUCUGGAACUAUAAUUACACUUUUUAGUUCACAUUGACUUCUAACCUUAGUAGGCCUAGAAAUAAGUACGCCAGCAAUUAUCCCUAUCUUAAUUCAUAAAGGAAAUCCUCAAUCCACAGAAGCUGCAUGCAAAUAUUUCCUAAUUCAAGCCACCACAUCAAUGAUCUUAAUAAUAGGCACAAUAAUUAAUUUCAUAGACUCAGGCCAAUGAACCCUGUCCAACUAAUACAAUCAAAUUUCAUCAUUUAUAUUUACAAUUGCACUUUCAAUAAAAAUAGGACUUGCCCCAUUUCAUCUAUGAGUACCAGAAGUUACCCAAGGAAUCCCACAUAAAUCAGGCCUAAUUCUGCUAACAUGACAAAAAAUUGCCCCAAUCUCUAUUGUAUACCAAAUCACAUCUUCCAUAAAUCCCACCCUCAUAUUAUUUAUAGACACCCUAUCAAUUAUACUAGGAGACUGAGGGGGGCUUAACCAAACCUAACUAAGAAAGAUCUUAGCAUACUCAUCAAUUGCCCAUAUAGGAUGAAUGAUAGCGAUUAUUACAUAUAACCCAACUUUAACGAUAUU
rnacentral:lncRNA from 1 species